AGGAUGAACGCUGGCGGCGUGCUUAACACAUGCAAGUCGAACGAUGAUGCCCAGCUUGCUGGGUGGAUUAGUGGCGAACGGGUGAGUAACACGUGAGUAACCUGCCCUUAACUCUGGGAUAAGCCUGGGAAACUGGGUCUAAUACCGGAUAUGACUCCUCAUCGCAUGGUGGGGGGUGGAAAGCUUUUUGUGGUUUUGGAUGGACUCGCGGCCUAUCAGCUUGUUGGUGAGGUAAUGGCUUACCAAGGCGACGACGGGUAGCCGGCCUGAGAGGGUGACCGGCCACACUGGGACUGAGACACGGCCCAGACUCCUACGGGAGGCAGCAGUGGGGAAUAUUGCACAAUGGGCGCAAGCCUGAUGCAGCGACGCCGCGUGAGGGAUGACGGCCUUCGGGUUGUAAACCUCUUUCAGUAGGGAAGAAGCGAAAGUGACGGUACCUGCAGAAGAAGC
rnacentral:rRNA from 1 species